UACGUAGGUGGCAAGCGUUAUCCGGAAUUAUUGGGCGUAAAGGGCGCGUAGGCGGCCCGGUAAGUCAAAGGUGAAAUCCCUCGGCUCAACUGAGGAACUGCCUUUGAAACUGUCGGGCUUGAGGCCGGGAGGGGGUAGCGGAAUUCCCAGUGUAGCGGUGAAAUGCGUAGAUAUUGGGAGGAACACCGGUGGCGAAGGCGGCUACCUGGACCGGUUCUGACGCUGAUGCGCGAAAGCGUGGGUAGCAAACAGG
rnacentral:rRNA from 1 species